AGGUGCUGGGCUACCUGACUGCUAGCAGGGACUGAGGGAGGGCAUUUCUUGAAGAGUUACCCAGAUCCAGCUGCUUAUCUGCCCCUGGCCAUGGUUUAUGUUGUUGACUGAUUGCACCAGCUGCUGAGAGGUGGUUUUAUGUAGUGUGCUGCAGGAGGCUUCUCACAUGCUUUGGGAUAUCUUCAGGGAAAUACGCUCUUAAUAGAAACUGAGAAUUUAAGAUUAUACACAGACGCAAGCCUACCAUCCUGUAGCGUGUGGACCUAGGGCAAAAUUUUCUCAUUAUUUG
rnacentral:lncRNA from 10 species